GACGAACGCUGGCGGCGUGCUUAACACAUGCAAGUCGAACGGAAAGGCCCUGCUUUUGUGGGGUGCUCGAGUGGCGAACGGGUGAGUAACACGUGAGUAACCUGCCCUUGACUUUGGGAUAACUUCAGGAAACUGGGGCUAAUACCGGAUAGGAGCUCCUGCUGCAUGGUGGGGGUUGGAAAGUUUCGGCGGUUGGGGAUGGACUCGCGGCUUAUCAGCUUGUUUGUGUGGUAGUGGCUUACCAAGGCUUUGACGGGUAGCCGGCCUGAGAGGGUGACCGGCGACAAUGGGACUGAGAUACGGCCCAGACUGCAACGGGAGGCAGCAGGGGGGAAUAUUGCACAAUGGGCGGAAGCCUGAUGCAGCAACGCCGCGUGCGGGAUGACGGCCUUCGGGUUGUAAACCGCUUUCGCCUGUGACGAAGAGUGAGUGACGGUAAUGGGUAAAGAAGCACCGGCUAACUACGUG
rnacentral:rRNA from 1 species